rnacentral:lncRNA from 1 species
GGGACUCUGCGAUAUGUAGAUGGAUUCAAGCAAGAAAAAGUUUCUGCUCUCAGCGACAGGUGAUGGAUGAUGACGAAGACGAUGUCAGGCCCAUGAGAGGCCUAACGGGCCUAACUCAAGGUGCAGAAGAAGAACCCAGCCUGAGGGCUCUUAAGUAAUCAAACCUAGGGUUCAUACGUACGGGAAUCGCUCGAUUCCAACAAGCAGGAUGAAGAACGGGGAGGAGGAGAAGAUGUCACCAACGGGAUCGCACCAACGGGAAAUCCGUGGAAAACAAAUUUGAAAGAGGACGAUGACGAACGCUGAGCAAAGAAACAGAAAAGCCCACAGCUCAGGACCUCAGGGCGAGCGACUCUCCCUCAACCUUCCCCCUACGCAGAGCAGAGAGCAAAGGGGGAAAGAAUACGGCGAGAAAGAGGGGAUUACCUGACGACGGAGUGGUAGAUCGAUAUGGGGCUGCUGAGAACAGGGCGACGACACGGGUUUAACGAAGGAGAUCCGAACGCGUCUUGUAGGAAGCGAGACGUUACCUGCAACAAGACGAUCGGGAUGAGAGGAGCGGGAUCGGAAGGAGGGCCAGAGUAUCGGCCGAUUCAUGCCGGAGCCAGAGCAGAAAGGAACCAUGCUUGGGCUCAAACAGAAGGGUGGAUAC